rnacentral:rRNA from 1 species
AGAUUGAACGCUGGCGGUAGGCUUAACACAUGCAAGUCGAGCGGAAACGAAGAAUAGCUUGCUAUUCUGGCGUCGAGCGGCGGACGGGUGAGUAAUGCUUGGGAAUCUGCCUAGUCGAGGGGGACAACAGUUGGAAACGACUGCUAAUACCGCAUACGACCUACGGGUGAAAGGGGGCCUCUUCUUGAAAGCUCUCGCGACUAGAUGAGCCCAAGUGGGAUUAGCUUGUUGGUGAGGUAAGAGCUCACCAAGGCGACGAUCCCUAGCUGGUCUGAGAGGAUGAUCAGCCACACUGGGACUGAGACACGGUCCAGACUCCUACGGGAGGCAGCAGUGGGGAAUAUUGCACAAUGGAGGAAACUCUGAUGCAGCCAUACCGCGUGUAUGAAGAAGGCCUUAGGGUUGUAAAGUACUUUCAGCGAGGAGGAAAGGUUGAUGGUUAAUAACCAUUAGCUGUGACGUUACUCGCAGAAGAAGCACCGGCUAACUCCGUGCCAGCAGCCGCGGUAAUACGGAGGGUGCAAGCGUUAAUCGGAAUUACUGGGCGUAAAGCGCAUGCAGGCGGUUUGUUAAGCGAGAUGUGAAAGCCCCGGGCUCAACCUGGGAACUGCAUUUCGAACUGGCAAACUAGAGUUCUUGAGAGGGUGGUAGAAUUUCAGGUGUAGCGGUGAAAUGCGUAGAGAUCUGAAGGAAUACCAGUGGCGAAGGCGGCCACCUGGCAAGUAACUGACGCUCAGAUGCGAAAGCGUGGGUAGCAAACGGGAUUAGAUACCCCGGUAGUCCACGCCGUAAACGAUGUCUACUCGGAGUUUGGUUCCUUGAGAACUGGGCUCUUAAGCUAACGCAUUAAGUAGACCGCCUGGGGAGUACGGCCGCAAGGUUA